UGCGUAGGCGGCUUUCUAAGUUGGAUGUGAAAACUCUGGGCUCAACCCAGAGCCUGCAUCCAAAACUGGAGAGCUAGGGUUCUGGAGGGGAAAGCGGAAUUCCUGGUGUAGCGGUGAAAUGCGUAGAUAUCAGGAGGAACACCGGUGGCGAAGGCGGCUUUCUGGACAGAUACCGACGCUGAGGCACGAAAAGCUAGGGGAGCAAACA
rnacentral:rRNA from 1 species